GGGCGCGUAGCUCAGUUGGUAGAGCAUCGGACUUUUAAUCCGUGGGUCCCGAGUUCGAGUCUCGGCGCGCUCAC
rnacentral:tRNA from 1 species